rnacentral:tRNA from 1 species
UGCGCCCUUAGCUCAGCUGGAUAGAGCACGUCCCUUCUAAGGAUGUGGUCGUAGGUUCGAAUCCUACAGGGCGUGCCAU